UACGUAGGGUGCGAGCGUUAAUCGGAAUUACUGGGCGUAAAGCGUGCGCAGGCGGUUUUGUAAGCCAGAUGUGAAAUCCCCGGGCUUAACCUGGGAAUGGCAUUUGUGACUGCAUAGCUGGAGUGCGGCAGAGGGGGAUGGAAUUCCGCGUGUAGCAGUGAAAUGCGUAGAUAUGCGGAGGAACACCGAUGGCGAAGGCAAUCCCCUGGGCCUGCACUGACGCUCAUGCACGAAAGCGUGGGGAGCAAACAGG
rnacentral:rRNA from 1 species